AUAGGCAGUUCCCUUGUGGCAUAGUGGUUAGGAUUCUGGGCUUUCACUGCUGUGGCCCGAGUUCAGUCCCUGGUUUAAUUAGCUAGGAAGUGGUACCAGGACUCAAAUCCAAGUCUGAUACCAAAUUCUGUCUUUCUGCACCUAGCCUGCUGGCAAGCUGUCUUAGGUGACAGGAGACUGCCCUUCAUCUCCUCUCCUCCGCCCCCCUGCAAGGCCACCUCCUUCCCAGGCCUAAAUCCACCAACAUACAUUUACUGAGGACCUACUAACUGUUAGGCCCUGGCUCAUGCUUUGGUGUGUAGGGUCCCCCUGGCUCAGGUGAGUCCACCUGCUCAGGACCCCCUGCCCUUUGCUUCUGAGCUUUGACUAGGUGUGGUCAGGACUAGAUUUCACCAAGGUGGCUGCGGCCCCAGGCCUCCAGGGCGUAGGUGAAGAGGGCCACCCCUUGGAAACCAGUUCCGGUCGCCUUUCUGCGGGGCCUCAGGCCGGCCCCUCUCAGCUGCCCGCCUCCUCACAGGGCUGAUGGGUGCGGGGGCUGGAGCUGCAGAGGACACCCUGGACAGAGGGUCUAGAGGCUGGGGCCCGAGCCACCAGGAAAGCCCGUGAAUGCCUCCUGACGCCUUGUAGGAGUAAAAGCUGGUGUGACAGGCUAGGGCAGCCUUCCCAAGAAACACGUGCGCAGCACUCCCUCUGCGCCAAGCACCCUGUGAGGCCGGGGUGUGCCGCAGUCAGGAAGACUUGGUCCUUGUUCUGAGUUGCACAAGGGCCGAGGAAAGAUGUGGACACAGGGAGGAGAAGUGGAAAACACGGGAAGGCAGAGGAAAAGGAAGCACGGAGAUGGGUAAGAGUGAGGAAGGGCGCCAGCUAACCCCCUGCCCGCCCUCCCCCACUCUCUGCUUCUCCACCUGGACUCUGGGGGCAGCCGGGCCUAGAGCAGGCACAGCCCUCGUUUCAUAACUGACUUCUCUCAGGACCCCCCAAACACUCCCUCAUCUAUUGCCUCAGUUUUACUCUCCUGUGAAAUGGGGGCACAGGCCCAAAAGUUAGCAAUAGUUACUUUGGGGAAGUGGGAUUGAGGUUGACUUCUCAGUUGAUUUCUUUCUCUGUUUAUUUUGCUUUAGAUUGUUGCUUGCAAUAAGCAGGCAUGAUCUCCAUAGUUAAAAGAUUUUAAAAUGUUUCCCCUGAUCCCCACCGGCAGGCCGCGUGGGGCACAAACACACCCUUCUUCAUCCUUGUCCUCACGUGACCAUUACUAAGCAACGCUCUGGGGAGGGACACCAGAGAGGCUGACUGUGCUGCUUCCCUCACCGUUCGAGAUGGUAUAGACAGGCCUUUCUUCAUAUCUAGUCAAAUACUUAAAGCCUUGACCUGUGCUUUGCUUUUACCAAUAAACCAGAACGUAGGCAGAAUGGAUAUCGUGUCUACUUGAGAUCAGUAGUGUUUUGAAAAUGAAAUGCACCUCUUUUCAAGGUCCAAGCCAGUGUGGAUAGCUUGCUACCUUUAUGUAAGAAAAGGAGGAAAUACGAAAUUGGAUGAAGAAACUCUAGAAGGAUACACAAGACACCAAGAAGGGGUACUUGUGGGGGGACAGAGGGAAGGAGGCUGACAGGAACAGGGACAGGAGUAACAUCUCAUUAUAAACCUUUUUGCAGUGUACUGAUUUAGGAAUCAUACGAGGGUGUUACCUAGUCACCAAAUACAUUCUGUAGACCUUCAGGGGGCUGCCGGGCUGCCUUGGCUGUGCAGUGCUCUAGCAGGACGCAUUGCCCCAAGGCGGUCAGUCAGGGCUGGAGCGACCCGAGUGCCCUACUCUGGUCUUGCGCUGCAUCCAGGAACACUCUGGGCAUGAGUGUGUCCUCCUUGGAAAAGGUGGACAAAUGGGUGCUCUGGGCCCAGCCUCUUCCUUCCACCUGGGCCCACCUUCUGUGUCACUGUGGGCAGGAGCCCAGCUCUGGGCUCCUGUGGAACCUGGGACUCCUCCCCAGUGACCCUGACCACGUCGUGUGGUAAUCAUCUGUUUUCCUGUCUGUUUCCACCACCAACUUGGGUGCUUCCAGGUAUGGGGAACAGGCUGGGUUGUAGGCCAUCCCUCCUGGUCCUAAUGCUUGACACCCAGUAAACACAGCUGCAUACAGUCAUGAAUGCAUACAGUCAUGAAUGAAUGAAUGACAACUCUUCUGCUUAAAUGUCAGUUUGGGCUCUUACUUGCUGUGCCUCGAGAAGCUUCCGGUUUACUGGGGUGAAAGCCCUGUGCAGCUCCCAGCCUGACCCUCAACUGUUGAGUUCUGACUCUUUUAUUCAAUCAGCCAGUGUUUGCUGAGCACUUCUGAGAUGCUGUGCUCGUGCUAGAUUGGCUGGGUUGUGGGGAACUCAGUGAAUUUCUAUCCUGGCCACUCUGUCUCGGGGGCAUCUCUAAUAGUUCACCCUGUUCCUCCCUCAGGGCUGCCUGAGAGCUUUUUCAGCAUGUGGACACCUCAAAGCCAUCUGUAAUUUCAUACAGCUCUGGGGUUCCUUAGAUAAAAACAACCAGGAAUGCACUCGGUGGGCUGGAGCAGCAAUAUAUUUGGUUAGACAUCAGAGACUUCUGUCAAUCAAGAUACGUCGAUAGUGGUGACCUGGAGAAGCUGAGAAACCCCAGCACCUCUUGGGUACUGGUCACCCUGAAUUGUAAGACCUGAAUAUUGAACUGGAAUUUCAUUUGUAGUAUGUUUUCAAUUACAUCACAGUAAAGAUUGUUUUCCUUCUGCCA